GGGCCCGUAGCUCAGCGGUUAGAGCAGCGGACUCAUAAUCCGUAGGUCGGUGGUUCGAGUCCACCCGGGCCCUCAA
rnacentral:tRNA from 1 species